rnacentral:misc_RNA from 1 species
AAGUCGUAUUUCCGUAGGUGAACCUGCGGAAGGAUCAUUAACACGUAUCCAAACGUUAAACCCCUGUGAACCUUCACCUGUACUCGUACGUCCGUUAGAAAAAGAUCCCUGGUAAAUCAUCGCCGAACAGUUUUCGAUUCAGGGACGUAAGGAGCGCAUGUCGUGCGAAGCAAGUGGCCUGGCAUCCCCAAGCAGUUAGUGUCUGAAAGUGUCAUUAAUUGUGUAAGGGACGCAGUCACGAUCGUUGGAGGCCCACACGGCCGACCGAGUCACUGGGCGCAAGCCCCCUCUAACAAACGCUGCCAAUCGCGGCCGCUAAUACGCAGUCGACCAAAAACCGAACAACUGUUAACAAUGGAUAUCUUGGUUCUC